AACUGAAACAUCUAAGUACCCCGAGGAAAAGAAAUCAACCGAGAUUCCCCCAGUAGCGGCGAGCGAACGGGGAGCAGCCCAGAGUCUGAAUCAGCUUGUGUGUUAGUGGAACGGUCUGGAAAGUCCGACGGUACAGGGUGAUAGUCCCGUACACCAAAAUGCACAGGUUGUGAACUCGAAGAGUAGGGCGGGACACGUGGUAUCCUGUCUGAAUAUGGGGGGACCAUCCUCCAAGGCUAAAUACUCCUGACUGACCGAUAGUGAACCAGUACCGUGAGGGAAAGGCGAAAAGAACCCCGGCGAGGGGAGUGAAAAAGAACCUGAAACCGUGUACGUACAAGCAGUGGGAGCACCUUCGGGUGUGACUGCGUACCUUUUGUAUAAUGGGUCAGCGACUUAUAUUCUGUAGCAAGGUUAACCGUAUAGGGGAGCCGCAGGGAAACCGAGUCUUAACUGGGCGUUAAGUUGCAGGGUAUAGACCCGAAACCCGGUGAUCUAGCCAUGGGCAGGUUGAAGGUUGGGUAACACUAACUGGAGGACCGAACCGACUAAUGUUGAAAAAUUAGCGGAUGACUUGUGGCUGGGGGUGAAAGGCCAAUCAAACCGGGAGAUAGCUGGUUCUCCCCGAAAGCUAUUUAGGUAGCGCCUCGUGAACUCAUCUUCGGGGGUAGAGCACUGUUUCGGCUAGGGGGUCAUCCCGACUUACCAACCCGAUGCAAACUACGAAUACCGAAGAAUGUUAUCACGGGAGACACACGGCGGGUGCUAACGUCCGUCGUGAAGAGGGAAACAACCCAGACCGCCAGCUAAGGUCCCAAAGUCAUGGUUAAGUGGGAAACGAUGUGGGAAGGCACAGACAGCCAGGAUGUUGGCUUAGAAGCAGCCAUCAUUUAAAGAAAGCGUAAUAGCUCACUGGUCGAGUCGGCCUGCGCGGAAGAUGUAACGGGGCUAAACCAUGCACCGAAGCUGCGGCAGCGACACUAUGUGUUGUUGGGUAGGGGAGCGUUCUGUAAGCCUGCGAAGGUGUGCUGUGAGGCAUGCUGGAGGUAUCAGAAGUGCGAAUGCUGACAUAAGUAACGAUAAAGCGGGUGAAAAGCCCGCUCGCCGGAAGACCAAGGGUUCCUGUCCAACGUUAAUCGGGGCAGGGUGAGUCGACCCCUAAGGCGAGGCCGAAAGGCGUAGUCGAUGGGAAACAGGUUAAUAUUCCUGUACUUGGUGUUACUGCGAAGGGGGGACGGAGAAGGCUAUGUUAGCCGGGCGACGGUUGUCCCGGUUUAAGCAUGUAGGCUGAUUGUCCAGGCAAAUCCGGAUAAUCAAGGCUGAGGUGUGAUGACGAGGCACUACGGUGCUGAAGUAACAAAUGCCCUGCUUCCAGGAAAAGCCUCUAAGCAUCAGGUAACAUCAAAUCGUACCCCAAACCGACACAGGUGGUCAGGUAGAGAAUACCAAGGCGCUUGAGAGAACUCGGGUGAAGGAACUAGGCAAAAUGGUGCCGUAACUUCGGGAGAAGGCACGCUGGUGUGUAGGUGAAGUCCCUGCGGAUGGAGCUGAGACCAGUCGAAGAUACCAGCUGGCUGCAACUGUUUAUUAAAAACACAGCACUGUGCAAACACGAAAGUGGACGUAUACGGUGUGACGCCUGCCCGGUGCCGGAAGGUUAAUUGAUGGGGUUAUCCGUAAGGAGAAGCUCUUGAUCGAAGCCCCGGUAAACGGCGGCCGUAACUAUAACGGUCCUAAGGUAGCGAAAUUCCUUGUCGGGUAAGUUCCGACCUGCACGAAUGGCGUAAUGAUGGCCAGGCUGUCUCCACCCGAGACUCAGUGAAAUUGAACUCGCUGUGAAGAUGCAGUGUACCCGCGGCAAGACGGAAAGACCCCGUGAACCUUUACUAUAGCUUGACACUGAACAUUGAGCCUUGAUGUGUAGGAUAGGUGGGAGGCUUUGAAGCGUGGACGCCAGUCUGCGUGGAGCCAACCUUGAAAUACCACCCUUUAAUGUUUGAUGUUCUAACGUUGGCCCCUGACCGGGGUUGCGGACAGUGUCUGGUGGGUAGUUUGACUGGGGCGGUCUCCUCCCAAAGCGUAACGGAGGAGCACGAAGGUUAGCUAAUCCUGGUCGGACAUCAGGAGGUUAGUGCAAUGGCAUAAGCUAGCUUGACUGCGAGCGUGACGGCGCGAGCAGGUGCGAAAGCAGGUCAUAGUGAUCCGGUGGUUCUGAAUGGAAGGGCCAUCGCUCAACGGAUAAAAGGUACUCCGGGGAUAACAGGCUGAUACCGCCCAAGAGUUCAUAUCGACGGCGGUGUUUGGCACCUCGAUGUCGGCUCAUCACAUCCUGGGGCUGAAGUAGGUCCCAAGGGUAUGGCUGUUCGCCAUUUAAAGUGGUACGCGAGCUGGGUUUAGAACGUCGUGAGACAGUUCGGUCCCUAUCUGCCGUGGGCGCUGGAGAAUUGAGGGGGGCUGCUCCUAGUACGAGAGGACCGGAGUGGACGCAUCACUGGUGUUCGGGUUGUCAUGCCAAUGGCACUGCCCGGUAGCUAAAUGCGGAAGAGAUAAGUGCUGAAAGCAUCUAAGCACGAAACUUGCCCCGAGAUGAGUUCUCCCUGAGACUUUAAGUCUCCUGAAGGAACGUUAAAGACGAUGACGUUGAUAGGCCGGGUGUGUAAGCGCAGCGAUGCGUUGAGCUAACCGGUACUAAUGAACCGUGAGGCUUAACCUU
rnacentral:rRNA from 1 species